GGGAGUGGCUGUGGCUCAGUGAUAGAGCAUCUGUUUUGUACGCAGAAGGUCACAGGUUCAAUCACCAGUAUCUCCU
rnacentral:tRNA from 1 species